AGCGGCAGACGGGUGAGUAACACGUAGAUAACCUGCCCUCAAGACGGGGACAACCGGUGGAAACAGCGGCUAAUACCCGAUAUGCUCACAGGAUCGGGAGGUCGAGUGAGGAAAGCGCCCCUUCGGGGGAGAGUGUUUGAGGAGGGAUCUGCGGCCCAUCAGCUAGUUGGUGAGGUAACGGCUCACCAAGGCGAAGACGGGUAGGGGGUGUGAGAGCAUGGCCCCCCACAAUGGGACUGAGACACGGCCCAUACUCCUACGGGAGGCAGCAGCGGGGAAUAUUGCGCAAUGGACGGAAGUCAGACGCAGCGACGCCGCGUGGGUGAGGAAGGCCUUCGGGUUGUAAAGCCCUUUUCAGGGGAGCGAGAAAGGACGGUACCCUUGGAAUAAGCGUCGGCUAACUACGUGCCAGCAGCCGCGGUAAGACGUAGGACGCAAGCGUUAUCCGGAUUUACUGGGCGUAAAGCGCCUGUAGGCGGUCAAGUAAGUCGGAUGUGAAAGCCCCGUGCUCAACGCGGGGAAGCCAUUCGAUACUGCGUGACUAGAGAACGGCAGAGGGAAACGGAAUUUCUGGUGUAGCGGUAAAAUGCGCAGAGAUCAGAAAGAACACCGAUGGCGAAGGCAGUUUCCUAGGCCGCAUCUGACGCUGAGAGGCGAAAGCUAGGGGAGCAAACAGGAUUAGAGACCCUGGUAGUCCUAGCUGUAAACGAUGGAUGCUAGGUGUGGGCCGGAAAGGUCCGUGCCGUAGUUAACGCGAUAAGCAUCCCGCCUGGGGAGUACGCCCGCAAGGCUAAAACUCAAACGAAUUGACGGGGACCCGCACAAGCAGCGGAGCGUGUGGUUUAAUUCGAUGCUACACGCAGAACCUUACCUGGGCUUGACAUGUAGGUGGUAGUGAAGUGAAAGCGGAGCGACCCUUCGGGGAGCCUACACAGGUGCUGCAUGGCUGUCGUCAGCUCGUGCCGUGAGGUGUCGGGUUAAGUCCCGUAACGAGCGCAACCCUUGUCCUUAGUUACAAGUGUCUAAGGAGACUGCCGGUGACAAACCGGAGGAAGGUGGGGAUAACGUCAAGUCAGCAUGGCCCUUAUAUCCAGGGCGACACACACGCUACAA
rnacentral:rRNA from 1 species